UCACUUUCAACAACGGAUCUCUUGGCUCUCGCAUCGAUGAAGAACGUAGCGAAGUGCGAUAAGUAGUGUGAAUUGCAGAAUUCCGUGAAUCAUCGAAUCUUUGAACGCAAAUUGCACUCUCUUCGGAGAGUAUGCCUGUUUGAGGGUCAGU
rnacentral:rRNA from 1 species